rnacentral:rRNA from 1 species
CCUACGGGAGGCAGCAGUAAGGAAUAUUGGUCAAUGGACGCAAGUCUGAACCAGCCAUGCCGCGUGAAGGAUGAAUGCCCUCUGGGUUGUAAACUUCUUUUAUAGGGGACGAAAAAGGGUCUUUUUAGAUCAACUGACGGUACCCUAGGAAUAAGCACCGGCUAACUCCGUGCCAGCAGCCGCGGUAAUACGGAGGGUGCAAGCGUUAUCCGGAUUUACUGGGUUUAAAGGGUGCGUAGGUGGGUUGGUAAGUCAGCGGUGAAAUCUUCGAGCUUAACUCGGAAACUGCCAUUGAUACUAUCAGCCUUGAAUAUCCUGGAGGUGAGCGGAAUAUGUCAUGUAGCGGUGAAAUGCUUGGAUAUGACAUAGAACACCAAUUGCGAAGGCAGCUCACUACGGGAUUAUUGACACUGAGGCACGAAAGCGUGGGGAUCAAACAGGAUUAGAUACCCUGGUAGUCCACGCCCUAAACGAUGGAUACUCGACAUUGUCGAUAUANAGUAAGUAGUNUGAGAGAAGAGAGUAGUAUCCACCGAGGAGACG